rnacentral:rRNA from 1 species
ACCGAUAGUGAACCAGUACCGUGAGGGAAAGGCGAAAAGAACCCCGGCGAGGGGAGUGAAAAAGAACCUGAAACCGUGUACGUACAAGCAGUAGGAGCCCCAUCACUCAAGUGCCUCGCACUGAGUGAUGCAAGAACAUCACCGAAAAUAGCGCCGAAUUUGCUAACAAGGUUGGUCGAUUUUUUCAAACCGUCGCGCAGUGUACCUAGAAGUACACGAGCAACGGAAGUUAAAAAAUCGGGCAAGAUUGAACGCAAAGGCAAGCGGGACAUUUGAGGAUGGGGUGACUGCGUACCUUUUGUAUAAUGGGUCAGCGACUUAUAUUCUGUAGCGAGGUUAACCGUAUAGGGGAGCCGUAGGGAAACCGAGUCUUAACUGGGCGAAUGAGUUGCAGGGUAUAGACCCGAAACCCGGUGAUCUAUCCAUGGGCAG